UAUUACCACUUAUACCACUUACAAUUGCGUGCAAAUAAUUAUUGGGGUUUUUUACUUUAAUCGUGUUUAUUAUUUAGUAUUUACGUAAAUAUUAUAACUUAUAAGUAAAUACAGAAUAAUGAAUAAAUUUGAUUACAUUUAUUUUGAAUUUUAGACCUUUCGAAGUCAAAGAAAUUUUUGACAUAAUAAGUUCAUUACCAAUGAUAUACCAACAUAUUAUUGAUCGAAAUAGUACGCCUCAGCUGCCGUGGGUUUCUUAAGGAUGUAAUCCGUACAAUAUUGACAAUAAUUUAUCGAAAAAGAAGUAAAACCAUCGGAGAAAUAAAGUUGAAGUACUACUACUACUACUACAACAAUCACAUUUAAACCAUCAUAACACUUAUUAUACAUCAAGAUAUAAUGACUGAUAUAGGUGUAUGUCUAAGCCACAAGAAGAUUAUAUUUGAAAAUACUUAAGACCAUUCCUACUAAAUAAUGUUUA